GUAUACAGAGCCUACACAACGUAAAAUGUAGAUACAUGAAUAAAGAUCAACGAACAUUCCUCGCUAAUUCUGACUUUAUCUACCAAACCGACGAAAGUCAGACAAUGCUCCCCUGUCACCCAUUGUUUCACUUUAUUAAGAAAACUUAUUAAACAUCAAACACACUAAACAUAAAGAUUGACUCUUCAAAAUAUAACCACUAGAAAUCGAUCAUCUACAAUUACUUCCCUAAAUCAUUAAUAAAUAAAUUUUCAACGGAAGUGGUUACACCCUUUCCUAUACAUAAACAACCUUAUACUUAUUCCCAUUUCCGAAAACACAAACAAAAACCAUCUCAAAAUGAGAGAAGAACCUUUCUUCUUCCAUUGCCGUUUCUUGGCCUCUUGGUUCAUCUUCUUCCUCGCACUACAAGAAAAAGCACCGCAUGCCGACAGCCAUCUUUGUCGGUAAGUAAUAGGAACAAGCUCGAACCGAUGGUCUUCUGAGAAAACUCAAUUAGUCGGAGUUUGGGUCUCGGAAAUGGAUUGAUGUCGGAGCUGUGUCGGAAAUUUCCGACGAGAUAUAUCCUCGGAAAUUUUGUCGGAAUCGUUUGUCGGAAUACACCGAGACCGUUUCGAUGAAAUGUGAAGCCACAAACUCGUCGAAGCAUGCUCGGAAGUUGGUUUGUCAGAAGUUAAUCGGUAUUUACCGAGGCCUUUCCGAUGAUACAUGACAUUGAAUAUACCGAGGAGAAAUCGUUACUACAGUAUUUCCGGUGAAUCUGUUUUACACUUCUGGGAAAUUGUUUGAAGACCACCGUAAUACACUAAUACAUAAAGAUGUUUUUUCUGGAAAUUUAAUAGAUAAAGACGUUCUUAACAAAGGAACAAAUAUACACCAUUUGAUUAUUAUAAAGAUAUACACGGGAUAUAUAUUGCUUACAAGAAAAAUACAGACUAAAUAACUCAUAAAAACUAAAAAGGAUAAAGG
rnacentral:lncRNA from 1 species